UACCAGCACCCCGAGUGGUCGGGACGAUUAUUGGGCCUAAAGCAUCCGUAGCCGGUUCUACAAGUCUUCCGUUAAAUCCACCUGCUUAACGGAUGGGCUGCGGAGGAUACCGCAGAGCUAGGAGGCGGGAGAGGCAAACGGUACUCAGUGGGUAGGGGUAAAAUUCGUAGAUAUUCGGAAGAACACCAGUGGCGAAGGCGGCUCACUGGCCCGGUACUGACGCUGAGGUGCGAAAGCGUGGGGAGCAAACAGG
rnacentral:rRNA from 1 species